rnacentral:rRNA from 1 species
UACAGAGGUCUCAAGCGUUGUUCGGAUUCAUUGGGCGUAAAGGGUGCGUAGGUGGCGCUGUAAGUCGGGUGUGAAGUUUCGGAGCUUAACUCCGAAACUGCAUUCGAUACUGCGGUGCUUGAGGACUGGAGAGGAGACUGGAAUUCAUGGUGUAGCAGUGAAAUGCGUAGAGAUCAUGAGGAAGACCAGUGGCGAAGGCGGGUCUCUGGACAGUUCCUGACACUGAGGCACGAAGGCCAGGGAGCAAACGGG